UACAGAGGUGCCAAGCGUUAGGCGGAAUCACUGGGCUUAAAGCGUGCGUAGGUGGUGCGUUAAGUCUGUCGUGAAAGCCCCGGGCUCAACCUGGGAACGGCGAUGGAUACUGGCGCGCUAGAGUGCGGUAGAGGAGAGUGGAAUUCCCGGUGUAGCAGUGAAAUGCGUAGAGAUCGGGAGGAACAUCAGUUGCGAAGGCGGCUCUCUGGACCAGCACUGACACUGAGGCACGAAAGCGUGGGGAGCAAACAGG
rnacentral:rRNA from 1 species